rnacentral:lncRNA from 10 species
GGAAAUAGGUGGUGAUGGGCAGACAACAGACGGCACUGAGCCCUCCCACAUGCAUUAUGCACUAGAUGAGAAUUAUUUCCGAGGAUACGAGUGGUGGUUGAUGAAAGAAGCUAAGAAGAGGAAUCCCAAUAUUACACUCAUUGGGUUGCCAUGGUCAUUCCCUGGAUGGCUGGGAAAAGGUUUCGACUGGCCUUAUGUCAAUCUUCAGCUGACUGCCUAUUAUGUCGUGACCUGGAUUGUGGGCGCCAAGCGUUACCAUGAUUUGGACAUUGAUUAUAUUGGAAUUUGGAAUGAGAGGUCAUAUAAUGCCAAUUAUAUUAAGGUUUUUGGAGAAUAGGUGGUAUUUGGUUACAUGAGUAAGUUCCUUAGUGGUUAUUUGUGAGAUUUUGGUGCACCCAUCACUGGAGCAGUAUACACUGAACCAAAUUUGUAGUCUUUUAUCCCUCACCUCCUUCCCAUCCUUUCCCCGAGUCCCUAAAGUCCAUUGUAUCAUUCUUAUGCCUUUGCAUCCUCGUAACUUAGCUCCCACUUAUGAGUGAGAACAUACGAUGUUUUGUUUUCCAUUCC